GCAUUCUGACUCACUGGAUGGGCAUCUGUGCCCUCUAGGCCAGGCAAGGUUUAGCAUUCAUUCCUCCUCCCAUAGGCCUUGGUCUUGUGUUUUUCUGACUUUUUUCAUGCUUGGACUUCCCAGUGAAGUUCCCUAGACACGACAGUGCGCUGUUCUUUGGCUCUUUACUUUCUCAUUCCUCAGCCUGGAGGCCUUUCUUUAACUUCUCAUUGCUAAGGUCUGUUUAUCCUCCAGAUAGCCUUCUUAGGCCACCUAUAAUAUCCUCAUAUGGUGGUCUCUUCCUUUCUUUUCCUCUCCUGGUUCAUAUUUGGGCCAGAGUGACCUCUGGCAUUUACCUCCAACUAACUUUGAGGUGCAGGACCCCACAAGCCAUCAUUUAUCCUUUGGCAAAUAUAGCAGCAGUUAGCCAGCCUGUCUGUCACUUUUAGGAUUCUUUGGGGGAUAGAGAUCAGACUCCCAUGCCUGCCAAAUGCAGGGGACAAAUAUCCUGUUCUUCAGGUGGCACUGCCGGAACCCUUCUGCCUUGAGUAACAUAAAGAAGAGGAAAGAAGAUCAAAGAAUUAUGAAACAAAUGAGAUGCUUGUAAACUUCAUUAGUUAUAUGAAACCACAAAGGGGCAUUUAAUAAACUAUUCCUCUCAAAAAUGGUAUUUUGGUGCUUUGUGGACACUAGCAAACCUCCUGAUGCCUUCAAUUCAGAAAGGAAUUUCCUUACUGGAAGACGUGAUGAGCUGUCAGGGCCUCUGGCUUUCUCCAGAAGCUGGCCGAGCAACUGAGGAAUCUUGCUACUUACCUACACUCACUAUACUGCAGCGGGAAUGGCCCUGUGGGCACUGGGC
rnacentral:lncRNA from 10 species